UAUUGUAGGACCUUCACUGUUGCA
rnacentral:piRNA from 1 species